UACGUAGGGUGCGAGCGUUGCCCGGAUUUAUUGGGCGUAAAGGGCGCGUAGGCGGCUCUGCACGUCCGUUGUGAAAUCCCCGGGCUCAACCUGGGAACUGCAUUUGUGACUGCAUCGCUGGAGUGCGGCAGAGGGGGAUGGAAUUCCUGGUGUAGCAGUGAAAUGCGUAGAUAUCAGGAGGAACACCAAUAGCGAAGGCAGCUCGCUGGGACGUUACUGACACUGAGGCGCGAAAGCGUGGGGAGCGAACAGG
rnacentral:rRNA from 1 species